AGAACCUUACCUACUCUUGACAUCCACAGAAUUCGGCAGAGAUGCCUUAGUGCCUUCGGGAACUGUGAGACAGGUGCUGCAUGGCUGUCGUCAGCUCGUGUUGUGAAAUGUUGGGUUAAGUCCCGCAACGAGCGCAACCCUUAUCCUUUGUUGCCAGCACGUAAUGGUGGGAACUCAAAGGAGACUGCCGGUGAUAAACCGGAGGAAGGUGGGGAUGACGUCAAGUCAUCAUGGCCCUUACGAGUAGGGCUACACACGUGCUACAAUGGNGUAUACAAAGAGAAGCGAACUCGCGAGAGCCAGCGGACCUCAUAAAGUACGUCGUAGUCCGGAUCGGAGUCUGCAACUCGACUCCGNGAAGUCGGAANCGC
rnacentral:rRNA from 1 species